rnacentral:rRNA from 1 species
UACGUAGGGUGCGAGCGUUGUCCGGAAUUAUUGGGCGUAAAGAGCUUGUAGGCGGUCUGUCGCGUCUGCUGUGAAAAUCCGGGGCUCAACCCCGGACUUGCAGUGGGUACGGGCAGACUAGAGUGUGGUAGGGGAGACUGGAAUUCCUGGUGUAGCGGUGAAAUGCGCAGAUAUCAGGAAGAAUAUCCGUGGCGAAGGCGGCUCUCUGGUACGGCACUGACGCUGAGACGCGAAAGCGUGGGGAGCGAACAGG